rnacentral:rRNA from 1 species
UAGUGGCAGACGGGUGAGUAACGCGUGGGAAGCUACCUUGUGGUAGGGGACAACAGUUGGAAACGACUGCUAAUACCCUAUGAGCCCUAUGGGGGAAAGAUUUAUCGCCAUGAGAUGUGCCCGCGUUAGAUUAGCUAGUUGGUAAGGUAAUGGCUUACCAAGGCGACGAUCUAUAGCUGGUCUGAGAGGAUGAUCAGCCACACUGGGACUGAGACACGGCCCAGACUCCUACGGGAGGCAGCAGUGGGGAAUAUUGGACAAUGGGGGCAACCCUGAUCCAGCCAUGCCGCGUGUGUGAUGACGGCCUUAGGGUUGUAAAGCACUUUCAGCAGUGAAGAUAAUGACAUUAACUGCAGAAGAAGCCCCGGCUAACUUCGUGCCAGCAGCCGCGGUAAUACGAAGGGGGCUAGCGUUGUUCGGAAUCACUGGGCGUAAAGAGUACGUAGGCGGACUGAUAAGUUAGGGGUGAAAUCCCAAGGCUCAACCUUGGAACUGCCUUUGAUACUGUCAGUCUUGAGAUCGAGAGAGGUGAGUGGAACUC